rnacentral:rRNA from 1 species
CGUAGGGUGCGAGCGUUAAUCGGAAUUACUGGGCGUAAAGCGUGCGCAGGCGGUUUUGUAAGACAGAUGUGAAAUCCCCGGGCUCAACCUGGGACCUGCAUUUGUGACUGCAAGGCUAGAGUACGGUAGAGGGGGAUGGAAUUCCGCGUGUAGCAGUGAAAUGCGUAGAUAUGCGGAGGAACACCGAUGGCGAAGGCAAUCCCCCUGGACCUGUACUGACGCUCAUGCACGAAAGCGUGGGGAGCAAACAGGAUUAGAUACCCUGGUAGUCCACGCCCUAAACGAUGUCAACUGGUUGUUGGGUCUUUACUGACUCAGUAACGAAGCUAACGCGUGAAGUUGAUCGCCUGGGGAGUACGGCCGCAAGGUUG